UCUCAACUCCUCUUUUGGUCUGAAACACCUCCAGCAUCUCCGCCAUGGUUUUUGAAACAACUCCACCAUGAAAGAAGAACAACAACUACGACAAGUAUGAGACCUAAAAACAGAUUUCAACCCAGGUUAUUCGAUUCUUAAUCUUAUUCUUCGUCUCAGCUCUUUUCUUUUCAUGAAAAAAUUACUGAAACACCUCCACCAUGAAAGGCUACGGAAAAUCUGAGGCUUCAAAUAAUGAUUCAAUCCAGAAACCAUUGCAAUUGAUGUUCGUUUCUCAUGCUACGGAACAUCAAAGACUAAAACAGCACAUUUCAAUCCAGGGUCGAGGUUGAGCAUCCUGAUCAAGCCAAGUUUGAACAACAUAGUAAAGAAAUUGCUGAAUUUGCUGCCGCAUUUUCCAUCUCUUCACCAACACACAUCAGUAGCCCCAAAACCACAGGUGGUUGUAGCUGCAGAGAUAUGGGGAAGCUUUUGGUUGUGUGUUAAGGAAGCUUUUGAACGAUCAGCUUGAAAACUCCAGAGCCACAAUGGCUAAGAAGCUGUUCGAUAGACAAUUGUCUAUCAUUACGGUGGCUUGGAAGGUACAAUUUCAGUUACAAUGCUUCUUUCCUUUUUGAAUUUACCAUAAGGGCCCUAACUUGGAGCUGCCAUUUGUGUUUUUCCUUAAUGAGUAACACAAUCCUUCAUGUAAACUGGUCCUACAUAUUUUGAGUUAUCUGCGACACUACCUAAUUGAAGGUAUAGCUAGAUAAAUAUGUAAUUUAUAUGUUCUUUUCGGAAAGCUUUAAUGGCUAAAGUGAUCCCGAAAUUCUAAUUGCCGGCCUUCACGUAUUUGAUUGGCGCUUGAUAGACUAGCAUAAUUAACUUUUCCGUACACUUUUUUCCGGUGUCAAGCCCGACACAUUCUGCUGUUCUGGUAGUACUCAUAACCAAUAUGUGUUCUAAUAUAGGCAAAAUGAUAGAAGCAGAUGGCUAUGUAUUGAAAUUGGCUAUACAGGUGAAGCUAUCAAAUUAUUUUACGAUAACGAAAUUCAACCAGAUGUGCGCAUCUGGAUGCUUAUAUAUGGGUUUGCUGAACUUGGUAAGUCAGUCUUGCUCUAGACCGACUUAUCUGUCAUUCACCACCUAAUUUCGUUAACCCUAACUACUUUCAUUUUCAUUGACUAAUUUCAUAUAAACUAACACACACUAUUAUGCAAAGUAGAUUGUAAUUUCUUUUUGUUUGGCGUGCAGGUUGAUUUUUUGCUUUCCAUACAUACUUUUUUACUUAGAAGAAGCAAUGUGAAAUGGUGAUACUUGCUUUGUAUCGCCUUUAAUUCAUUUUCCUUUUGUACUUUUAUGCAAGUCGGUUUUGGUUGUCUAAAUAGUCCUAUAUGGGAUUGUUCGUUGGGUUAAUUUUCGACUAUGUCUACCUUUUUUAGUUUACCCCAUUUUUCUUAAUUGGUCUGCUUUGAAAAGCAUAAUCAUAUUCAAGGUCAAAAUGUUUGCAACACUCUUUGUACUAAAUUCCCUGUGUCUAUAGUAAUUGACAUUAAUAUCGACUGCUUGAACUAUUUUGCUUC